GGACUAGCCACGCGAUUAAGGGUAAUGUGAGGUGCAGUAAGUAGUAGGUGAUACAUAAUAGAUGGGGUUAACAUAUUGACUGGUAAUAAACGAGUGCGGCUUUGUGGCUCCGCCCAUAUAGUGAUGUCAUUAUGACGCCUUUUGGCGCGUUUUUUGAAGUUUAGGGUAUUUAAGGAGCCGGUGAGGCAUGGCCAAAUAUGCAGCUGAUGACUUGGGGUGUGGAUAAGACAGCUUUUUCUGACAACGGUUGAUAUUCUCCUGAUGAUGGUCUGUGUGGGACCGAAAACGUUCGAGAUACCCUAUAUGCUGUAAGGUACAGCUGAAUUAUGCUGUCAAUAAAUCUGGUGCAUGUUUAAGGACUAAGACUGAACGGAUCUCCUCGUCAAAAACGUGGGGACAGGCUGGGACGGCGCAGUUGCAUGAAAUCUGACCAUGCCAGUUAAGUGAGCCAAGACACCGCAACCCCAACCUCUGGCUAAUUUUAUUGCCUGGGAGUUAUUUAUUUUCUUGGAUGCCCUUUGAACACCGAUCUCACAUAAAGACUAACCAGAUUUCCACCCAAUCAUUUUCCGCCAAUGCUCUCUUUGCUUUGAGGCGUCCUUUCCAUGAAGGUAGAGUUUGGUUGACGGGAGUAUUUCCGGACGGUGGCAGACAUCGAGCAUCCUGGCAUUUAAGGAGGAAUAACAGAUACCAGAUAAAUGCUCCAUUCAUCUUGGGUGCUUCCAGGUCUCUCGCAGUGCACCCACGCUUUCAGGCGUACUCCAGACGCUAAUGACAAAGAAAAUAAAGUGUGAAAAGCAUCACAACCAUUGCUUGAUCCAACGUGGUGGUUUUGUAAAUAUGAAACACAUGGAACCGUGGACGUCAUCAGGGCAGAUGGUCAUAAAACUUUUGGAUUUCAUCAUUCCCUUUAUCAAAUGAUCAUUGACGAAACUGUGGUCUGGCUAUGCAUGGAACACUUAUACCAGUUAUUAGGAAGAGGAGUGAAAUUACAUUGCGGAUGUUACUCUCCAUGUUGAGCAGGCCGGGCUGUCACUAUGGGGAGACAAUUACAUUUUUGUCAAUGUGCCACGAGCAUCACCAAUGCUCAACUGUGAACAUAUCGCUCACAUAUCGGUUAUGGUAUCGGUUAUGGUAUUAAAUCGGUCUCACAUGUCACACAUGUCUAGCCGUAGCAGCUCAUUUCAUCAGCCAGUGCGAUCAGGCAGGACUUGGAAGACGUGACAGAGGCUCCACACACUCCUAGUACCUGUCGGGGGAGAAGAUUGAACAGGAGAAUGGGCUACAGGAGAGCCGUGCACCAACACACCAGGCCAUCGCUGUCUGCUUGGGGCUUUCCGCACUCUGCAGCCCUAAGGGAGAAAUCACAGAGACCACACCAUUCGGAUCCUGGCACUGCUAAUAGAUCUCCAGUCUUCAGCCGACUUUGAUGCAUAAACGAUCCUCAAAAUCAGAUUAUAUGAUUACAUCCAGACCCUUGGAUAAAAUGGAAUUCAAGGUUAUGAUGGCUGUCAAAGUAGAAGCAUAGGUUUUUUUUCAAAUAUAUGUUAGGCUUGAAUGUAUUUUCCCUGAUGUGCUGUUUCACUGGCGUAUGUAGUUGCAUGUGUUAUUGGGUAUAAGGCCUUAAACUGCACCUGUGUUACUGUUUAUAUGGCUUGUAAAUAAAUACAUAAUUGUCCACAUACACAUACUGUAUAUAUAGAUAUAUAGAUAGAUAGAUAGAUAUACCAUAUGUAGAUAAAUAUACAGUUGUGAAUACUAACAUUAUGUCACAGUGGCGCAUCUCUCCGCAACUCCACUGUUUGGAAAUCAGUUAUCACAUACAAAUUUGUCUCCAGUACAGAAGUCUUUAAGUUGGUCUUCAGAAAAAUGGCUGCCACUUGCCUAACUCAGUACUAGUGACAACACAUUAUGAUAAGGGUUAAUAUACUUGAAAAAUAUUUUCUAAAACUUUAAUUGCCAACUUUCCCUAACAGAAUAAAAAAACC